CCUACGGGCGGCAGCAGUGAGGAAUAUUGCACAAUGGGGGAAACCCUGAUGCAGCGACGCCGCGUGAGUGAAGAAGUAAUUCGUUAUGUAAAACUCUAUCAGCAGGGAAGAAAAUGACGGUACCUGAGUACGAAGCCCCGGCUAACUACGUACCAGCAGCCGCGGUAAUACGUAGGGGGCCAGCGUUAUCCGGAUUUAAUGGGGGUAAAGGGAGCGUAGGCGGCAGUGCAAGUCUGGAGGGAAAGGCUGGGGCUCCACCCCCGGACUGCUGUGGAAACUGGACGGCUGGAGUGCAGGAGAGGUAAGUGGAAUGCGCAGUGUAGCGGUGAAAUGCGUAGAUAUCAGGAGGAACACCAGUGGCGAAGGCGGCUUACUGGACUGUAACUGACGUUGAGGCUCGAAAGCGUGGGUAGCAAACAGGAUUAGAUACCCGUGUAGUC
rnacentral:rRNA from 1 species